rnacentral:misc_RNA from 1 species
GAUGAAGAACGCAGCGAAAUGCGAUAAGUAAUGUGAAUUGCAGAAUUCAGUGAAUCAUCGAAUCUUUGAACGCACAUUGCGCCCAUUAGCAUUCUAGUGGGCAUGCCUGUUCGAGCGUCGUUUCAACCCUUAAGCCCUGUUGCUUAGCGUUGGGAGCCUACAGUACUGUAGCUCCCCAAAGUUAGUGGCGGAGUCGGUUUCACACUCUAGACGUAGUAAUUUUUUCUCGUCUGUAGUUGAGCCGGUCCCCUGCCGUAAAACACCCAAUUUAUCAAGGUUGACCUCGGAUCAGGUAGGAAUACCCGCUGAACUUAAGCAUAUAAUAAGCGGAGGA